AUGACCAUAUCAUGUUGAAACACUGGUUCUCUGAUGAUCACCAAAGUUGAGCAAUGUCAGGCCUAGUCACUACCUAGAUGGGUGACCACUUGGGAAUACAAGGUACUGUAAG